CGAGUUUUAACUAAAAAUUAAAAACAGAAUCAAAUAUCCAUCGUCUCCACCGACCGGUGUUUAUAUUUCUUUUUCCCUGGUUUGCUGAGGCACCCACAUCUAGACUUGGUUUCUUCUCUCUAAUCUCAACAUUUCCAUUUUCCACCUUUUAUUGGAAGUUUCAUACCAGAAUUCACUGAACUUGCAUUAGAUGAGGGCAAAACAUGCGAGCAAAGCAAAAAUCUGAUCCCUAAUCUCUGUUUUUGCUCUGGACUCUCCCAAUACCCACCCAAUUGAAAAAUUGAAAUCCCCUUUUUUUGCGUUAAACGAAAGCAACGUAUUCACCCAAACCCUAGAACCACUUCCAGAUCAAAACCAACGCGAUUGCGCGAUCAAAAGAAGGCCAGCAUACAUGUUCACCAAUGACCAAAGGCAACAAGAACGAACUGGGAGAUAUGGAACUUCCAGAGUGGAAUUCCUUCAGGACCUUUGAUGGAUAAUGGUUGUUUCAGAAAUUGGUGACUCAGUUUCAGAACACAUCUGAGGAUGAAACAAGAGAGAAAAUUUUAGCAAAUUUGGCCAACUUUGCCUAUGAUCCUUACAACUACAACUUCUUGCGUCAGCUUAAUGUUUUGGAACUUUUCGUUGACUGCUUAACUGAACCCAAUGAAAAGCUUGUAGAAUUUGGUAUAGGAGGGAUCUGCAAUUCUUGUGUUGAUCCGGCCAAUUCUGCAAUUGUAACUACGUUUGGUGGGAUACCUCUUAUAAUCCAAUGUUUAUCAAGCCCAGUUAGGAACACUGUAAAUUAUGCACUUGGGGCACUUUAUUAUAUCUGUAACGAAUCUAACAAGGAGGAGAUUUUAAGGCCCGAAGUUGUUGAUGUCAUUAGGAGGUAUGCAGCCGCUGAAGAAGUUAGUGUGAGCUUCAGUAAUCUGGCUAAAGCUUUUCUGAGUAAACAUCUGGCCGAGAACUACUGAGAGACACAGCUUACCUUUCCAUACUCAUUAUAAGACCAUAUGUCUUGAGUAAGGCAACAAGUAAUUAGAAAGAACUAUUAUUAUUGUUUGAUCAAAUAUUAUUAUUCUUGUUAUUGUUAUCACACUAUUCAUGUCUAGAAAGAAUUAGACCAUACAAGAUACUAUUUGACAUUGAGAAUGGUUUCACCCAAAAAAAGGUUUUGAUCGUGGGUA